rnacentral:rRNA from 1 species
CAGUAGCCGCGGUAACACAGAGGGUGCGAGCGUUAAUCGGAUUUACUGGGCGUAAAGCGUGCGUAGGCGGCUAAUUGAGUCGGAUGUGAAAUCCCCGAGCUUAACUUGGGAAUUGCAUUCGAUACUGGUUAGCUAGAGUGUGGGAGAGGAUGGUAGAAUUCCAGGUGUAGCGGUGAAAUGCGUAGAGAUCUGGAGGAAUACCGAUGGCGAAGGCAGCCAUCUGGCCUAACACUGACGCUGAGGUACGAAAGCAUGGGGAGCAAACAGGAUUAGAUACCCGGGUAGUCCCUGUCUCUUAUAC